rnacentral:misc_RNA from 1 species
AAGUCGUAACAAGGUUUCCGUAGGUGAACCUGCGGAAGGAUCAUUAACACGUAUCCAACGUUAAACCCCCCGUGAACCUUCAGUGCGCUCGCACUUUCUUAGAAAAGGUAGCAAUCCCUGGUAAAUCAUUGCCGAACAGUUUUGAUUCAGGGACUUCUGCGUAGACUGUGCUUGAGCGUGAGGCAAGUGGCCUGGCAUUCCUCUGCUUGUUGGUGUCUGAAAGUGUCACCAGCUCUGUACGAAUGGCGCAGUCACGAUCGCUAGAGGCGGCGCGAGCCCCCCUCGUCACCUUUGCAUGAAAACGGGCCUGCGCUUAAUUGUGCGGCCACCAAACUCGAACAACUGUUAACAAUGGAUAUCUUGGUUCUC